AUGUCAACAACGCAUCGCCUCUACUUUUACCAAAAAAUAGGCGCACAAAACUCCCCUGUUUGCGCCCGCGGCCACCUGUCUCCGCCUCCUCGCAGGAAGCGGCCCCCGCGCGUGGGCUCGGGCUCGGGUGGGGGCGUGGGCCGCGGUCCCGGAAGGGGUGAAGCGCCCGGCGGGCGGGCGCGGGGCAGGGAGGCCCGGGGGGAGCCGCAGCCGCUCCGCAGCCCGUCCGCAGCCCAGGCCAGGCGGCGCGCGCCCGAGAACGCCCCGUGUGCACGCGCCCGCCCCCCUCCCCGCACCCCGCGCGCGCCCCUCGCAGCCGGGAGCCGGAGCGCUGGCUCCGCGCGGCCUGGAGAGGCGGAGAGGCCGAUCCGCCGCCCCCUCUGCCGCCCACGCCCCGCUGCGGGUCGGAGGAACAGGAGCGCUCGCAGGUGCUCGGAGAGGCCGGGCCGCGGCUCCCACAGGUGCCGGGAGGAGGCCGCGCGCAUGCGCCGGAGCCCACCCGCCAGGCUGCGCGUCCCGGGCCCGGGGGCUGAAGAGGAGCCGCGGCGAGGAACAAGAGAAUGGUGAGAGGACGCGGAAACACCUGAUAUCCCAGCAAAGGAAGCUGCAGAGGAAGGGUCCUGCCCCGUGAGCAAGGACGGCCUCCAGGAGCACAGCGGCUUCUCCUGACACCCCCCUGGCAGUGAAUUACGGAUGACCCCGUAUCUGGGGAGGUGCGGACGCCGACACACGGGGAGAGCUCCUGAGACCAGCGCGCAGGACCAGUGUCCUCCCCGUGACCUUGCAGUUGUGUAGCCACAAGUGGGAGCCACAAAGAAGGAGAGCCCACAGGGGGACUCUUUUCAAGACAUGGGGUUAAAUCAGGGCUCUGAAGUUGGGGCCACAGCCAAUCUCAGCUUUCUGCGUCCUGGGGGUGCGGUGAUAUGAUGGAAUGUGAAGUGAGUGGGUGAGCACGGACUCCUGAAAGGGCGCAGCAGAUACCUGGUUAUCCGCUACUGCAGAGACACCUGGUCAGCCGGCGUUGCAGAGAGGGACAGCUAGUCAGACUGCAGAGAGAGACACCUGGUCACUCAGACUGCAGAGAGACACACCUUGUCACCCAGGCUGCAGAAACAACCACAGUCAACUGCAGCUCCAGUCAGUGCUGUAUGUUGGCUGACGUGGUCUUGCACCGGCUGGAGAUCCAUUCACCAAGACUCUUGGGCAGCUUUAAAGUGAUUGGGGUUCAGAAGUUCAGCAAGAGUUGGACACACCCCUCCUCACUGGAGAGGAGAGGGGAAAGGCGGGGAACUGGGAGCAGCGUGUGAGAUUACCCCCCUCACACACAGAGCAAAAAAGCGUGGACACACAGAAGUGAAAUCUGAUCGCGUGCCAGGAAAAGCUGUGAGGCUGGAAACCCCGGAGUAAGGCUCGACCUUGGCCAGACCUGCAGGCUGUGGAGCCGGGGGAGUGC
rnacentral:lncRNA from 1 species